rnacentral:lncRNA from 1 species
GAAGAAGAAGAAGAAGAAGAAGAAGAGAGCCUUGCAAGAGGGCUACUGAAUAGCCCUGUAAAGAAUUUGGUUAUUCUCCUGUGUAGGAGUAUCUACAUAUUACUUUCACUUGAAGAAACUUCAAGUAUAUCUGUCGUUCACUUGGCUGGGGACAAGUCUCUGAGAUGCACCAAGAUGUACAGAUCCUCUGGGCAGAAUGUGAACAACCAGUUUGGAAAGCAGCAUCACACAGCGUCAAGUGAGCGUGACGCAUGCUCUGCUCUGCUGAGGCCCACAGAACAUAUGUUGAUGUACGGGCUGGGAGCCCUCUGUUCCUCUUCUCUACACGGCCAGCAGACAUCGCCUUCCUCUGUGCGUGCUGGCACUCUGGCCCUCGUCUUCGAGGGUGUGGUGACGUGGAGGCGAUGACGGAGCCAAGGCUUCUGAAGCACAUAUCUUCAGAGAGCUGCUGCUCACAGGAGAAGUUAAUAUACAUCAGGUAAAUCUGCGGCUGUAAAUGAAACCUUGGGACUCUUCCUCAGCCGUGACUAAUCCUGUGCACACUGUGACUCAGCUGGUGAAGCAUUUAUCAGGAGAGCUCCCAGAGCACUCAGCUAUAAGCCUGUAAAUAAAAAUAUCUUGUCUUCUUGUAGCA